AGUGAACGCUGGCGGUAGGCCUAACACAUGCAAGUCGAACGGCAGCACAGUAAGAGCUUGCUCUUACGGGUGGCGAGUGGCGGACGGGUGAGGAAUACAUCGGAAUCUACUUUUUCGUGGGGGAUAACGUAGGGAAACUUACGCUAAUACCGCAUACGACCUACGGGUGAAAGCAGGGGAUCUUCGGACCUUGCGCGAUUGAAUGAGCCGAUGUCGGAUUAGCUAGUUGGCGGGGUAAAGGCCCACCAUGGCGAUGAUCCGUAGCUGGUCUGAGAGGAUGAUCAGCCACACUGGAACUGAGACACGGUCCAGACUCCUACGGGAGGCAGCAGUGGGGAAUAUUGGACAAUGGGCGCAAGCCUGAUCCAGCCAUACCGCGUGGGUGAAGAAGGCCUUCGGGUUGUAAAGCCCUUUUGUUGGGAAAGAAAAGCAGCAGGUUAAUACCCCGCUGUUCUGACGGUACCCAAAGAAUAAGCACCGGCUAACUUCGUG
rnacentral:rRNA from 1 species